CAGCCCAGUGGUGUUUCUGAAGAGGUAUUCCUUCAGAAAUGGAGAAGACAGAAAGCUGCGGAGGCAGACAUUUGCAGCAGAUUGUUUGCAGAUAAUGCUGUUCUUCUUUUUCAGAAGUUUUUGGUGAGCCAACCCUCACAAACCUUCCUAAAAACUAAAAGAGCUAUUACUGAGUCUCAGCGAAUCUUGCCAUGAUCAGCUCUUCCCAGAAGAGAAGGAAGACCAAGGAAAUGAUUUGCCCAGGAUGAGGAAUGAAGAGCUCAUCUUGUG